UACGUAGGGGGCUAGCGUUGUCCGGAAUCAUUGGGCGUAAAGCGUGCGCAGGCGGUCCGCAAAGUCUGAUGUGAAAGCCCCGGGCUCAACCUGGGAACUGCAUUGGAAACUAACGGGCUCGAGUGUGGCAGAGGGGGGUGGAAUUCCACGUGUAGCAGUGAAAUGCGUAGAGAUGUGGAGGAACACCGAUGGCGAAGGCAGCCCCCUGGGCUAACACUGACGCUCAGGCACGAAAGCGUGGGGAGCAAACAGG
rnacentral:rRNA from 1 species